rnacentral:misc_RNA from 1 species
UGUAAUGUUCAAUAGAAAGCACAACACCAUAUUUAGGCUGCAUGUGGGCAAGAAAUUCUCUCCCCUGUUUUACAAGCCCUGAAUGGCUGCAAGCUGACAAAACCCCAACAAAUGUGACAUCAUCAGGCCUCAAUUCUGCCUUACACAUAUCAGAAAACAAUUCUAAUGCUUUGAUGCCAAAUCCAUGCAUGCCAUACCCCUUAAUCAUAAUGUUCCACGAUGCCACAUCUUUGAAAUUCAUCAUAUCAAAGAUCAGCUUAGCUUCACGCAUGCUUCCACAUUUGGCAUACAUG